rnacentral:lncRNA from 1 species
AUGGAUUUGAGUAAAGAAACUAAACCUCAACUCGAGCAGCUACUUUACAAUGCAACUUUACUCACAGAAGCAGCCCUUGAAUUGCGAGAGAAGUCUAUCAGCAGUGAUAAGUACAGCAGUUAUCUACGAAGUUUGGCGUGGCGCGCCACUCGUGCUUCCUCCAUAAUUCAGCAAACUAGUCGAAAUUGUUUAAACCUUGCUCAGCGAAUAGCAGCAAGUUGUUCGAAGACUUUAGAGAUUAUCCCGGAACCAGCCCUUCGGCAGCAGACUGAAAGGUUGCUGUUUAUUUUAGAAAAAGAGCUUGUUGAUGUGAUUGAUUUCGAUCUUGCGGAAAAUCCAUUUGCGUUCACACCAAACAAUCCAAACAAUCUCAGUGAGAAACUACGGAAUCUUGAGAGUCGUGUGAAGCUAGACUGUGGUUAUUUGUCUCAGUGCAGCAGCGCCAAAAGUUUCAAGCAAGAUGUUGAUGAAAAGUAUCCAGAAAAUUGCUCGCGGGAAUCGCUGUUUGACUUCAAUGUAAUGAAUCUGCCUCCAGUGCCAGAGGACAUUUCUAUGAAUUUUAAUAAAAUUGGAAUUCCAUCACACAGCCAGUCAUCCUUGCGCAGUCUGCGCAAAGCUAAACACUACACGCAGAAGGCUGUACCCUCUGAUGAGAGCGAGGAAAGUGAAAAUGAUGAUCAAGAUAUUGCUAGUAUUUCAGGAGAAGGAAGACACAGCUACUGGGAAUUAAUGAAGCAUGUUAACAAGCGCAAAACUUUAGGAAACAUCAAAGAAGAGUCCAGUCAGGACUUGUAAUUUCUCGCUUCCUAUUUUUAAGUAGACGGGGCAUUUGUUAUUGAAAAAAAUACAGACUUUCCGUUUUCCUUUUCCUCUGAUGCUCGCUCACAUGGAACCUCGUUUUCAUUUUAUGGUUAAAUAUGCAGAAUCCGUUAAAAGAAAAUUAUAAUUAAAGUCACAUUUGAGUUGGAGUUAAAUACUCAGUCUCAUUGGGUAACUACUCGGCUCAAUAAGACUGAAUGAUCAUGAUUCGAAAUCGCAUGUGUUGCAAGUUCGUAAUCCAUUCUCUUUGAUUCGAAUUAAGCGCCAUUUACUCGCACGUUUUUAUAACAUCAUGGUGCCAAAAUAGCGUGCCCAAAAUCCUCCGAAAAUUCUGCCCCGAACUCUCAACCCAUGAAGUAUAUGCCGUCGAAGUCGCAUGAAUGUCACUGUUUCAAUAUCCUUACUUAGAAUAUUAGGAAGGGAUGUUUUAUUAUCGCCUAAGAAUAAUUAUACUCUUCUCUAAAAGCUUUAGCACUGAAUCCCCGGCCAGUCCAAUACCAGCAAGCUUGGCAAUUCUGAUUUCACCUGCGUAGUUCGCUGUUGCCAGGUAAACCAAGUUAAGGAGCAAUUUUAUUUAUUGAUUUCAUAGAAGAUGUAUUUUUAACAGUCAGUUUUCCACCAGACACCAAGAAAUUUUACGCAACUUCACUAAAUCACAUAAAUUUUGCUUUAAACUCAUCUGAAUCGUAAUAAAAAACUAGUAAUCUCGAGUCAUUUAUUCAGUAGAAUUUUUGAAUAAUCGGCAACUGAGCCUCUAAACAAAACAAAAAAUAUGUCGGAAUUUAACUUCCCUGUAAUGUCACUUUAUCAAUCGCGGUGUUCUUGCUUUGUCGCUAAUUUCCUCUCACUUUGAUUUUGUGAUGUGUUUGUUCGAUAAAAAAUGUGCUCAAUUUGAAUCUCGGCCAUUCUAAUGAGCUGAUCGUCUCUCAUCUUUAUCCAAAGUAAGUGAGCUCUCAGAAGUCUUUAUCAGUGUUUAUGUACUUAUGUUUUGUUAUCAUUCCUCUCCACUCAUGUGCAUCCAGGUAGAAGGUUGAUCUCUUAUUACCCUCUGGAAUUUGUUUUUUAUUUGCUCCCUUCUCUAUUAUGUAAAUAAAUGUUACGGACAUCAACUUAUGAAGUAUGAACUAUGAUAGUCUGUGAUCUUGUAUUGAGCGUCAAAGUAGGCGUGGAGUCGAGAGCUAUCUAAUUAAAACACAACCCAUUGAUAGCGGAAUGGAAACAAUUAAUCAUUACAGAAAAUACUAUCUGGUAUGCUAAAAUCGUGUGCAAGUUUUUUGACGCAGGAACACAGGGACUUCUUGUUGACUUUACUAGCAGUAUUACAUACCUUCUGAGGACAAAAUUUUCAUCCGUCAGGUCGACAGAAGCAAAUUUGCCUCCCAAAUAGUCUGUAGCAACUUUCCAGUGCCACCUUAGUCCACCAGCCUUGCUUUCAAGUCGGUCAUAAUACCAGAUGAAGAACAUCGGAGAAUCCAGCUAAACAUGAUUCUCUGUUGUGAUUCCGUCAUCUCCUGCCAUAUUUUAUAUUUUGGAGAUCCAUUUCAAUUAAUCUCCAUCCUUGACCUACACUCGGUGGUUUUUCUCUGCCUCUCUUGAGAAUACCCUUUCUAGUGCUGAGCGGAAAUGUCAGGAAGCAUUAUUUAUCCGUAGAAAAUUACUUAAACAUGAUUGAAAUACUUCAAUGAAUUCAUGUGAAUACUUACUUCCAUACACAGGACAUUGUGUUAUAUAUUAAGCAACAGGUUGGAGAGUUUUAAUUCAAGGAUGACAAGUGUGGAUUAGCAAAUCUGCAAUAAUGGACAAUCUAGUCAUAUCAAAUUUUACUGAACAUACACAGGGGGACAAUAUUAUUCCUAAUUUACUCAAGGUCUCUUCAUUUUUUGCAAAACUGGGAUUGACUUGGUGUAGGAACUAUAAUUAAUUCUUUUUAAUCAGAUCAGUGCUCACCAUACUACAUCUAACCUUUGAGACGAACCUCGGAGGCUUUUCAAGAGGGAAGUAUAUUUAUGUCCAGGUAUCUUUAAGUCUCCACCAAAUGCUCCAAAAAACCCACUUUCCUUCGUAAAAACAUAGGUAAUAGAAAAAGACGCAAGAAUCUAUGCUUACUUAGUCAUUUGGUAUCCUCCGCUGCCAUAGCGGAAGGGUAAAAUUGUCUGGCAAAAAAUGUCGACUUGCAUACUGGGGGGCUAUUAGGGACCCUUAAUCACUUGGAUAAAUCGUAUAAGACCUUUCGCAGUGACCUUAUUGGUAGCCGCGCCAAGUCUACCGCUAGGUGUAAGUAUUGUAGUACGGCAAUUGGCUCUCCAUUAUUCUGGAGAAAUGCACAUAAAGUGCCAACCACCAGUUCACUGACCGUAGAAGGGAGAGCAGGAUAGGAUCCUAGUUCUUAGUGACCUGGUUAAGCCAGCUUAAGUAACCCCUAAAAAAAUUGCAUUAAUGGAGCAACAUAUCUAUAGCUUUUGUGGGAUGGAACGAUUAUGAACUUGGAUCAAGUAUAUUCCUCUCAAAGAUGAAAGAGAGAAGUCAUACACAGAGGAAUAAGUAAAUUGUAAAUAGGUACAAGAAUAAACUCAUUUUUAAUUGGAUUCAUUAAUUUUCACCAGCAUUAUUCAUUAAUUAAUUUUUUCAAAUAAGCACAUGAACAAGUAAACAAGCAAUUUUAACACAAAGAAGUUGAAGAGCAGUAUCGAGGUCUCAUUUUGCUGAGAGUACAUCGAUUUUGAAACUGAGCCGAAAAAGAAUAGAUAUCUUGAUUGACUG